rnacentral:rRNA from 1 species
GGCGUAUAAAAGGCAGGAGCUCCCCGUGGAGAUAACCUAGCUGCCGCCUCCUCGUGCACUCCCGCACUCGCGCCCGCUCCUCCCGCACGCGCGCCGCACCCUCACCUCUCUCUCCCCCUCCAAACCCUACCCCGCCGGUCGCCGCCACCGCUGUUGCUCGCCCUUGCCUCCCGCGCGGCGCCGUCUCCUGGCGUCCUCGCUCGCGUACUCUGCCGCAUCUCCCGCGCCAGCAGAUCGACGCAGCCGGGCCCGUCCACCGCCUCUCCCCGCCGCCCAGCUCGUCCCCGGCCUCCGCCCAGGUCUGUACUCUAAAGGUUACUUUCAUUUGCGUUGAAAGCUAUGUGGGUCAUUUGUCACGGCCACAGAUGCGGCCCCGGAGCUGUCGGGUUCACCGUGACACAUGUGGAGGCGUGAGUAGCCGACAUCUACUGCGUCCUCUUCGACGCCGCACCCAACGCCAAGUCUGUCAUGCUAGAGCUGUGGUGCAAUCAGCAUGUCGAGUAUUUGACGAAAGGGCUCGAUGCCGAGUAUUGCUUCUCCAAUGUAAAAUUAACUCGAGUGUCGUCCCUGGUUAUUAUUUUGCUUGACAUUUUUCAUUCCAGUCGACCUUGGUUAUUAUGCUAUUGGAUGGUUCAUGGACUCGCGUUGCUGGAUGAAACGCUUGGCGAUGACCUCGAGAACGAUAUUGUAGACUUCUUUUCUCGAUGCCAGGAUAGGUUCAAGCCAAGUAGCUAACAUCCCCUUCUACCCAAGGUCAAGCAUUCAGCGGCGACAUCAGAGGAGACAUCGUCACACGGAACCCCUUCUCUGGACAAGCAAAAGCUCUGGCCGCCAUGGAUGCCAAUGAGAUUCUCGACCAAGGUUCACCUGGGCCUGCAUCCUCCAAAAACAAGAUGCAUCCACCUAUCAAGGUUAGCCGGAAGUUACCAACUUGCUUUGUAAAAGUCUUGGGAUUUUUAAAGUUUGUAGGAACCCUUUUUGAAUAGACGGACAUUUUAGAUAUUUGCUUGCAAGACCAAAAGAAAAUAUGUUGACAAAUGAACCUGCUUAUGCAGAAUGCUUUUGAGGAUAUUCAUACAAAAUUCUUUGUCAGUGUGCUUGCUUGACUGGGUUAAUAAGAAGAAUCAUGCAACAGUCAAGAAAAUGAACUAUUGCCCAUGUACAGAUCAAGUGAUUUUAGUCUCCCUUUCGGGAGAAGCCUAAGCCGAAAAUAACUGGCCUUGAGUACUUUUCAUUCGUAUGCAUUCCAUACUCAGGGAAUAAGUCUUGCGUAUGUGUGUGUAUACUGGAAUUGUAACUCACUGUAGUAAUUCAUAAUUAGUUCCAUCUUUUACUUUGAUACUGCAAAAAUAGGGAGGAAAUAUUGUGUGAGUCAGUAUCUCAAAGAUAAACAAGGGGAAGAUUUUAAUAUGCGGUGUCUCAGGCUGUUGAUUUUUUAGGCUUAUUUCGGCCAUAGAUUUAUCCUGUUCAUACGCUUAAAUAAAAUAGUUAAAGUUCAUGUCUAUGAUUUGUAUGAAAAAUAUGGGAUGUGCUUUCGAAUCUGCAAUAUUUUCAUCCUAUAGGGUUUACUUCUUUCAGCUCUUGGUUGUAUGCCUGAAUAGAAUAACCGAAGUUCGAAUUUAUGUGUGGUAACAAACUAAAUAUGAGAAGCAUUUGUCAUGUUCUAAGAAAUAGUAUAUUGUAAACGAUCGGGUGAAUUUUGCACUUCCAUUUCUAGGUGUGUUGUUUCAGGAUUUUGGAGCUUCCUGUCUAUAUUUCCGGAUGCCUUUUGUGGUUUCAAAUAGUGGUGCUUCUCAAGUUGUUUUGUUUGCAGGUCUGGCAAUAUUCAUUUGCGCCUAGCUCCUAACAUACAUGGAUCAAUCAUUUUAUUAUUUUGUCAUCUCAUGUACUUUCACAUGAUGUUAGAGUUCAUUGUCUGAAUUGUUAUUUAGGUGAUAGCUUUGUGAAAAUAAUAAUAGUUAGAAGCUCAGAAUCGUGAGAGAUCGAUGGUAUUUCCAAACUGGAAUGGCAAUGCUAAGUCUAAAUUUUACAUUCAAGUGGAAAUCAUGUUGGUAUUUGGUGCAUGACAAGGUGCAAAUUUCCUAACUUUUGCAAGAUGGUCUGCUUGGUUUGUGCUGAUCUGCUUAAGUCUUUGUUCAACGAUUAGAUACGAAAUCUACUCGCCAGGAGGAGCAUGAAUAGUACAUCGAUAGAGGAAGUAGGAGUUCUCCGAAAUGAUCAUCUACAAGCACAGUACAUAUUUGUUGAUUGCUAGCACUAUCUAUGUUUCCAUAGCAUUGUUUCCAACUGCUGUAACACCUAUUUUUACAAUAUAAGGUAUGAACUACCUGGCUUUAUUUUGAACUUAUGUACUGAUGUAGAAUGAUGGCUCCUGUUUUUUACUUGCUGGUAUGAACUGUUUCGUUGUAUUUUGUAAAGCUCAAGAAUUUACUUAUGAUGCUAACUAACAUUGCUACAACAUUUGUAUAGACUACCUCUAAUAAUU